UACGUAGGGCGCAAGCGUUGUCCGGAAUUAUUGGGCGUAAAGAGCUCGUAGGUGGCUUGUCACGUCGGGUGUGAAAGCUUGGGGCUUAACUCCAGGUCUGCAUUCGAUACGGGCUGGCUAGAGGUAGGUAGGGGAGAACGGAAUUCCUGGUGUAGCGGUGAAAUGCGCAGAUAUCAGGAGGAACACCGGUGGCGAAGGCGGUGGUCUGGGCCGGAACUGACGCUGAGGAGCGAAAGCGUGGGGAGCGAACAGG
rnacentral:rRNA from 1 species